UCCUUGUUAGUAUAUCGGUUCAGUACACGCGCCUGUCAUCACGUUCAGUAAGAAUUUACGCGCGAGAGCUGGGUUCGACUCCCAGACAGGGAG